UGAACGCUAGCUACAGGCUUAACACAUGCAAGUCGAGGGGCAGCAUUAUCGAAGCUUGCUUGAUAGAUCGGCGACCGGCGCACGGGUGAGUAACGCGUAUCCAACCUUCCCAUCACUCAGGGAUAGCCCGCCGAAAGGCGAAUUAAUACCUGAUGGUCUCCUUCGCGGACAUCUAACGAGGAGUAAAGAUUUAUGGUGAUGGAUGGGGAUGCGUCUGAUUAGGUAGUAGGCGGGGUAACGGCCCACCUAGCCGACGAUCAGUAGGGGUUCUGAGAGGAAGGUCCCCCCACAUUGGAACUGAGACACGGUCCAAACUCCUACGGGAGGCAGCAGUGAGGAAUAUUGGUCAAUGGACGGAAGUCUGAACCAGCCAAGUAGCGUGACAGGAUGACGGCCCUAUGGGUUGUAAACUGCUUUUGUGCGGGAAUAAAGUAUGGGACGUGUCCCAUUUUGCAUGUACCGCACGAAUAAGGACCGGCUAAUUCCGUGCCAGCCGCCGC
rnacentral:rRNA from 1 species